AUUGAACGCUGGCGGCAGGCCUAACACAUGCAAGUCGAACGAGUGGCGGACGGGUGAGUAAUGUCUGGGAAACUGCAUGAUGGAGGGGGAUAACUACUGGAAACGGUAGCUAAUACCGCAUACCAUCAGAUGUGCCCAUAUGGGAUUAGCUAGUUGGUGGGGUAACGGCUCACCAAGGCGACGAUCCCUACCUGGUCUGAGAGGAGUACCAGCCACACUGGAACUGAGACACGGUCCAGACUCUUACGUGAGCCAGCUGUGGGGAAGAUUGCACAAUGGGCGCAAGCCUGAUGCAGCCAUGCCGCGUGUAUGAAGAAGGCCUUCGGGUUGUAAAGUACUGUCAGCGGGGAGGCGUUACCCGCAGAAGAAGCACCGGCUAACGCCGUGCCAGCAGCCGCGGUAAUUC
rnacentral:rRNA from 1 species